GUCGUGUGUUAUACGUGUCACACGAUACUGCCGGUAUCAAGCCGGAGGAAGGUGGGGAGUGAUGUCAAGUCAGCAUGGCCUUUAUAUCCUGGGCUACACACACGCUACAAUGGCAGAUACAAUAGGUUGCGAAACCGCGAGGUGGAGCCAAUCCUCAAAGUCUGUCUCAGUUCAGAUUGUAGGCUGCAACUCGCCUGCAUGAAGUUGGAGCUGCUAGUAAACGCAGGUCAGCUAUACUGCGUUGAAUACGUUCCCGGGGUUU
rnacentral:rRNA from 1 species